GACGAACGCUGGCGGCGUGCCUAAUACAUGCAAGUCGAGCGGAAUGAUGAAGAAGCUUGCUUCUUCUGAUUUUAGCGGCGGACGGGUGAGUAACACGUGGGCAACCUACCUUGUAGAUUGGGAUAACUCCGGGAAACCGGGGCUAAUACCGAAUAAUCCAUUUUGCUUCAUGGCGAGAUGUUGAAAGACGGUUUCGGCUGUCACUAUAAGAUGGGCCCGCGGCGCAUUAGCUAGUUGGUAGGGUAAUGGCCUACCAAGGCGACGACGCGUAGCCGACCUGAGAGGGUGAUCGGCCACACUGGGACUGAGACACGGCCCAGACUCCUACGGGAGGCAGCAGUAGGGAAUCUUCCACAAUGGACGAAAGUCUGAUGGAGCAACGCCGCGUGAGUGAAGAAGGUUUUCGGAUCGUAAAACUCUGUUGUAAGGGAAGAACACGUACGAGAGUAACUGCUCGUACCUUGACGGUACCUUAUUAGAAAGCCACGGCUAACUACGUG
rnacentral:rRNA from 1 species